AGAAGGCUGGUAGAGCUCUCUAUGAGUGUGAGCUGUGGAAGAUAACCAAGAACUGACAACCACCUAAAGAAGAGGUGGCGAUAAAGGCUCUCCAAGAGGAGGUUGUGAGUCUGAAGGCUUUUAUUCAACAAGGAGGCACUUAGAGGGAAUGCCUGGACCCUGAGAGGACUAAGACGAUAAUUGAGGCCACCCUGAAGCAGUUCCCAGGCCAGACACUCACUCCAGAUUGCUGGGCCAGGCAAUAAAUGCCAAAGUGACAGAACUGAGGUUCCAUAACAAAAACAAAGAUUUUCAAUAAAAUAGAAUAAAAGAUAACAGAAGUGUUGUGUGUUUCUUCCUCUUUAUACUGAUACUAUGGUUGAUUU